rnacentral:lncRNA from 10 species
CUGACUCGGUGCAUGUUGAGUAAAGCUAAUUUGCCAGUCCUGGGCAAAUGGUAAUUGUGGGACUUAACAAAGAGUGAGUACAGCUGAAGGAGCUGGGGAUCAGAAAGUAUAUGUAUCAGGUGUGAGGAAGAAAAUAGCUUUUGGAAGUUAUGAGAGCUGUAGAGAGUGAGUUGAGCAUAGUUUGUGAUUUUGAGGGCCUGUAAAAGUAUUAAAGCAGCGGCAGCCACUGCACGCAGAUAUGAGGGCUAGGCUAAAACAGUAAGGUCAAGUUGUUUGGACAGAAAGGCUACAGGACACAAUCCUGGUCCUUGUGUUAGAAUGCACAGCUCUGCACUUCAGCUGUGUGUAAUGAAAAGGGUUGGGAUGAGUCAGGGAGAGCUAGGGCGGGGGCAGUCUCUAAAGCUGUCUUCAAGGAAUGCAAAGAGGAGUGGGGAAAGGAUUUAGGAUCUAUGGGGGAAGGGAUGAAUUAUAUUGUGGUCUUAUUGUGGACUCUAUCAGAAAUUCUAUUCUCUUUAAUUUGAGAUUCAAUCUAUUUCAAUUUGGGAGUUUCAGAGCAAGU